rnacentral:lncRNA from 1 species
UUGGUAGGUUGAAAAUGAUUAAGUGUUGGAACUUUACAGGUAUUUUUUUCUUUUAAAUAUGGUUAUGUUUGGUGAGUUUGUAGAUUUAAAAUGGUUAUGCGUAGGGAUUUUGAAGGUGCUUUUUUGUUUUGAUAGUGGCUAUGUUGGGUGACUUGAAAGGUUGAAAAUGGUUAAGUGUAGGGACUCUAAAGGUUUUUUUUUUUUGAAAAUGGUUAUGUUUGGUGAAUUGGUAGGUUG